rnacentral:rRNA from 1 species
CGAGCGGCGGACGGGUGAGUAACGCGUGGGAAUCUACCCUUUUGUGGGGGAUAACUUGGGGAAACUCAAGCUAAUACCGCAUAAGUCCUAUGGGAGAAAGCGGGGGACCUUCGGGCCUCGCGCGAGAGGAUGAGCCCGCGUCAGAUUAGCUUGUUGGUGAGGUAAAGGCUCACCAAGGCGACGAUCUGUAACUGGUCUGAGAGGAUGAUCAGUCACACCGGAACUGAGACACGGUCCGGACUCCUACGGGAGGCAGCAGUGGGGAAUCUUGGACAAUGGGGGCAACCCUGAUCCAGCCAUGCCGCGUGUGUGAAGAAGGCCUUAGGGUUGUAAAGCACUUUCAGCAGGGAGGAAGGCUUCGGCUUAAUACGCUGGAGUACUUGACGUUACCUGCAGAAGAAGCACCGGCUAAUUUCGUGCCAGCAGCCGCGGUAAUACGAAAGGUGCGAGCGUUAAUCGGAAUUACUGGGCGUAAAGCGCGCGUAGGCGGCUAUUUAAGUCUGAUGUGAAAUCCCCGGGCUCAACCUGGGAAUUGCAUCGGAUACUGGGUAGCUAGAGUGCAGUAGAGGAAGGUGGAAUUCCAGGUGUAGCGGUGAAAUGCGUAGAGAUCUGGAGGAACACCAGUGGCGAAGGCGGCCUUCUGGACUGACACUGA